UACGUAGGGUGCAAGCGUUGUCCGGAAUUAUUGGGCGUAAAGAGCUCGUAGGCGGUUUGUCGCGUCUGCUGUGAAAACCCGAGGCUCAACCUCGGGCCUGCAGUGGGUACGGGCAGACUAGAGUGCGGUAGGGGAGAUUGGAAUUCCUGGUGUAGCGGUGGAAUGCGCAGAUAUCAGGAGGAAUACCGGUGGCGAAGGCGGCAUCCUGGACCGACAUUGACGCUGAACGGCGAAAGCUAGGGGAGCAAACGGG
rnacentral:rRNA from 1 species